rnacentral:lncRNA from 1 species
GUAUAUUACAUUCUCCACCCCUUAAAAUAAUUUCGUCCGCGAAAUUACGCAUACCUUAACUCGUUGACUCAAAUAAGUGCGGAUACUCUCUCCGCAUGGUCUCCUCGAGCUCCCAAGUGGCUUCUCGCACCGCAUGGUUGCUCCAUUGGACCUUCACAUAAGGAAUUCUGCGACUCCGUAGCUUUCUUUCUUCUCGAUCGAGGAUGCACACCGGGUACUCCUCAUAAGACAUAUCCUCGCGUAACUCCACGGGCUCGUACU